UACUGAAUGGAAGAAGGCCGUUACCAAGCGGUGCCGC
rnacentral:tRNA from 1 species